CAAAUGGUACCGUGCACAACAAUGUACAUACAGUUUUUAAUAGAGAAAGGGAACCCAUUCUCUGAAGUGCUUCUGCUUGCUGGUUGACAUGAGAGAAUGAAGGGUGAGUCUUUUUGUGUGUGUGUGUGUGUGUAAAUGGAGAAUGAUGGAGUAGGUCUAUGAGAAAAAAGACUGAGCUCAUUUCAAAUCCAAGGGAAGCUGCUCUGCUCCUGUCUCCCAGUGAUUCAUGAGCUGUCAUGCAUUACAGAUGGAUGCAGCCCACUCUGACAAAACCCAUGACCUGAGCACUUCUAAAAACCAUGGCACCCCGGGCAGGGUCGUGCAUGCAGGACUGGGGGAGAAAGCAGGAAUGCGGCUCAGGGAAGGGACAGCCCAUUAAGCUGCUGUGUAGCAGUGGCAGCAAAGUGCCUCAAAAGGAAACAAAAGGACUGUGGGCUGCGAUGCUCCUUCCUGUUUGAGGUUUCAUUUCAUCCUAAAACAACACCUCAUCAAUUUAAGCCAAGCUUUACUAUGGCAGGUCAAAGCCAACAUAAAAUCAUAGUACUUUUUGUAUAGUACCUUAUGUUAAACUUUGUCAAUUUUCCCAGGUGGAGGAUGCCUAGUUGCUUGUGUGUUGGAUGACACUGGGCAAUGUCUGUGUCUGUGCAGAAGCUCUGUUUUCUCCCCACCUUAUAUCCAGACACACAUUCUGGGCCCUCCAUAUCUCUUCUCUCUCCUGCAGAAUAGUGGUGUUGAAGCACGGAAAGUAAGGGUGUAAAUGGGACUACUCAUAGUGUGUGGGAAACCAAGCAGAAUGUAAAUGAGCUACCUAUUGAAGCUUCAAGCUUGGCGUUGCUCAGGGAGCCCAACAUAAACCUUCCUCCUCCAUGGGGAGGACGUGCAGCCUCCUGCCCUGCAUCCUACUGGCUUGGUUUGCCCUCCCCCCCUCCAAUCCCCAGUCACUGCAGUUAUUUCACAGGCAGCACCAUCCAGCAGGGCUUAAACAUACAGCAAGGAUGAGCCUGGCCUGCUAAGAUCAUCUCUUCCCCAUUAAACUACCAAACCAGACCUGACUUGCACCUUGCCUGAGCCUGGUGAGCAGACAUGCCCUAAGGAUAUGUCUACGCUGUAGGACAGAGUCAUUUUUCUGCUUCUCAAGUACCAGACUCUUCUGUGCUUGCUUUGUCUCUAAUCUACCACCUCUUGUAAUCCAUGAAGAAAGUGCUUCUGUUUGAAUUCACCAUGUUGGCUCAAAGAAACAGAUCUGAACUUUCCCUCAAAACCGGUAGGAGAGCCCUGUGCAGGACCUGAGCUGCUCACUGAAGGGUGGCUGUGUUCCUAUGAGCCACUUUGGUGGGACAUGGGUAAGUCAAGUUGAUGGCUGGACUUGAUGAUCUCGAAGGUCUUUUCCAACCUAGCUGAUCCCAUGAUUUCCACUCUGCCGUCCCACAGAGGUUUUUUCUCUGAGCUGAGCAGUGGGCCACAGGGCAGUGAAUGAUGGCAAGGAGAUGGAGAGUGAAGGCACUGUGCCCAAGUCCAGGCGUGAGGAAGCCCCAGUGACUGUGUUUGCUCACAGCCUGUUUUUCCACUGAAUGCUGCCAGCCUCCAGGCUGCUUGAACACCACGUGCUGCUUGCAUUGCUGUCUUUUCAUCUGCCACCCCUUGGUGUCCCCUGAGGUGUGCGGGCUGGGGAUAGCUGCAGGUGACUGGAAAUGCUGCUGGAAAACAACCCCUCAUGAGGGAAUUAACUCUUGCUUUUAUUUCUUUUUCUGGUGUGAAUACAGCUCUGAGGAUGCAGGAGAGCUUUGCUGAUGUUCCUUCAGAGCUUGAAAUAGUUUUCUUCCCCAAAGAUGGAUGCUGAGCACUUUCAAGCUGGCCAUUUAGAGAGUUUGUGACCAGAAAUCAAUCCAGGCAGAAAAAAUGUACAUCUACCUGUUUACAUCAUAAACCACAAACGCGUUUGCAUCCUGCAACAAACACCUGGGCAACAUCCAGAGGAGACAUUCCCAACGUGUUAACUACUGCCAGCGCUGGGAUCCUGUAACCACAGCACAUGGAGAUGAUGGGAACUCAGUUAAAUUAAGGAGAACCACCAAGAUUGUGAAACGUGGCAGCAGGACAAGAGCUGGUUGCAACACAGGCUGGACUUUAGGUCUGUUGGCCAAUCGAACACAUCUGAUGCUGGUGAUUGGGAUGCCAGAGACAGUUGGUAGACUGCUGAUCUACCCUGUGGGUCACUGAGGCACGUUCUUGAGGGCUGAUCCUCCUGGCCUGCACAAAUCUGCAUGUCCAAUUUCCCGAAUGGCAGAAAAUUCUACAUUAAGAUGACAUUUAUCAGCUAAUCUUUUAAAAGAAAUUAACUGGGUAUUUAUGAGGCUUAGACUUAGAGUAUCAUAGAAUCAUUAAGGUUGGAAAAGACCACCAAGACCAGCAAGUCCGACUGUCAACUGAUUCCCCACCAUGCCCACCAACUACAUCCUUCUGUGCCACAAUCUAACUUCUCAGUGGCACCAGGGAGAGCACAACCAAGCUCCUUUUGGAUCCCACUUGUAUCUUGUUCCCUUACUGCAAGGACAGACCCAAGCCCAACCCUGGCAAACAUUUCCUACCAGGGCAGUCACCACUGUGCAGGCUGGGUGAUGAGGCACCAGUGGGUGCAAGGAAACCCUAAAGCCCACAGGGGUCAGGGCUGGCAAUGCCCCACAUCCCUCCAUGCUGCUCAGCCCUUCUGCUGAUGUUCUGCAGGAGAGCAGCAGCUGAUGGUGCUAAAAAUACCCUUGGGCAGGGUAGCAGUGGUUCAGCACUGGGCUUCCCAGAAGAGUGCUGGUAUUUCAGCCUUGUGACUCCAGCUCAGGCCACUUGAUGAACAGCAUGCAACUUUGCUCUGAUUUCCCCAUUUGGUAGGGAACAAUCUCAGUAACGGAUGGAUAAGUCAGCAAACAGCAUAGUUCGCUUUCUUAUUUUAGGUCUCCCAUAGACAUAGAUAUGAAUGACUCUGAAAUAUAGGCAGCACCUGGUCCUUCCCUGCUGUCACAUUGUCCCCUUGAUGGAAAAGCAAAGGAGAUUCCUAUACAAGAUCCCUCUGUAGGUCUGAGGAGGCAGCCGUAAAUGUCCGACCAUAUGCGUGCCAAACAUCCAACCACUCUGCAACCUCACUUUGCCCAUUGCACGUGGGGCAAGAUGGGAGGGAUUCCCCAAAUCUGCAAGCACAUCCCAUAAAAUACCCCGGACACCAGCUGAGAGCACCACCUGUCAGUGGAGUGCUUUGUUCCCAAACCAGGUCCUGCUGGCACAUCCCUCUGACACACUCUACAGAAGAAAAAGUAAAACUAGGAACUUUUUGACUUCUUAUUUUGCAGAAGUGUGACCUUUCGACCUGAAUCACGAUGAGUGGUUAUGAGGAAGAGCUGCUCUCACUUCUAAAUUAUUGCCAUGCAAUGAGCAGGUUUCCAUGGGGUAGCUGAAGGCAUGUCCUGAGGUCCAAGGGAUACAAGCAUCCCAUUCUUGCUCUACUUUGCACUAAAGGACUGGUCUUAGAGGAGCUUAUUCUCUAAAAAAUGACCUGACUGGCUGAAUAAAACACAAUUUCUGUUUUAAUAUUGUUGUGUUAUGAAACAUUGCAAUAGAGGCACAAAUGUGGGCAAGAACAAGUUUUACUGCAGACGCUUGAUCUGCUGACAGAUUGUCCCAGUGCUGCAUUCCUCAUUCCCUGGGGGUCUGGUCCAGCUCAGAUUGGAAGAUAGUGAAGAUCUUGGGAGAUCUCCAAUAGUGUGGGUCAAAAUUCACUGAUUACAGAAAUGCAAUUGGUUCAGUUGAUCUGCAUAAAGAAAAAAACCACAGCCCAUAGUGGGAAUGUAGAGUAGGAUUGAGAGGAAAAGCUGAGCCCUAAUAGGGAGGCUGGUGCGUGGUGUAUUCAAUAAUUGCAUUUAUGAAUAAACAAUUAAGUAUUACCAAUGAAUCUCUUGCAUUUUAUUGACCCAGGCACAGAAGCUGCUUUUUGGCACUGAUGACUUGC
ensembl:lncRNA